GCUGGCGGUAUGCUUUACACAUGCAAGUCGUACGAGAGUUUUUAACUCAAGUGGCGGACGGGUGAGUAACACGUAAGAAUUUGCCUUUAGGAGGGGGACAACAACUGGAAACGGUUGCUAAUACCCCAUAUGCUUUCGAGUGAAAUGGAUUUUUCCGCCUAAAGAGAAGCUUGCGGCUGAUUAGCUUGUUGGUGAGGUAAUGGCUCACCAAGGCGACGAUCAGUAUCUGGUUUGAGAGGACGAUCAGACACACUGGAACUGAGACACGGUCCAGACUCCUACGGGAGGCAGCAGUGGGGAAUUUUCCGCAAUGGGCGAAAGCCUGACGGAGCAAUACCGCGUGAGGGAUGACGGCCUAUGGGUUGUAAACCUCUUUUUUCAGGGAGGAAUGAAAUGACGUGUACCUGAAGAAUAAGCAUCGGCUAACUCCGUGCCAGCAGCCGCGGUAAGACGGAGGAUGCAAGUGUUAUCCGGAAUCACUGGGCGUAAAGCGUCUGUAGGUGGUCCAAUAAGUCAACUGUUAAAUCUUGAGGCUCAACCUCAAAAUCGCAGUCGAAACUAUUAGACUA
rnacentral:rRNA from 1 species